rnacentral:lncRNA from 1 species
UGUAUUAUUCUUCAGUGUGAGGGGAAAUAGUAAGAAUAGGGAAGUGCUUGGUUUCCUGGUUCUUCAACCCUCGACUCUAGGCAGAUGAUCUAUUCAUCCAUUUUCAGAGUCAAUCUCAUUGCCACUGGGAUCACUUCUGAUCCUGGUAGUAAGCUUAGGGGUAUUUAUUGAAUAUUAAACUACACUCUUGUUGCCCGUGCCCAGUGUUCCUGAAAAUUCUUUCCCAGAUCCUGGUCCGCUCUUACACAGGCCCCAUAGGAGCUGCCCCUAUUCCAGUGAAAUAAGCUUCAGCUGCAGUUGCUAAAAGAUCCUGACUCUCCCCAGCCAUUGAAAUCCCCGCCAGCUGAGACAGAGCAGGAUUAGCCCUGAGCUAACAUCCACUGUCAAUCCUCCUCUUUUUGCUGAGGAAGACUGGCCCUGAGCUAACAUCUGUGCCCAUCUUCCUGUACUUUAUACGUGGGAUGCCUAUCCACAGCAUGGCUUGCCAAGCGGUGCCAUAUCCACACCCGGGAUCUGAACUGGCGAACCCCGGGCCGCUGAAGCAGAACGUGCGCACUUAACCACUGCACCACCGGGCCAGCCCCACUUAACCAACUCAUGAUGUUACCUUCUGUCAUAGGCUGAAUAAUGGUUCCCCAAACAUAUCCAUGUUCUAAACCCCAGAACCCGUGAAUAUGUUGCCUUAUAUUGCAAAAAGGACUUUGCAGAUGGGAUUAAAUUAAGGAUCCUGAGGUGAGGAAGUUACCCUGGGUUAUCUGUUUGGCCUGAUGUGAUCACAAGGGUCCUUAAAAGAGGGACUCAGGAGAAGUCACAGGCAGAGAAGGUGCUGUGAUGACAGGAGCAGACCCGGAGUGAUGAGCUUUGGCUGUGGAGGAAGGAGCCACAAGUCAAGAAAUCCAGGUGGCUGCUAGAAGCCGAGAAAAGCAGGAAACACGUUCUCCCUCAGAGCCUCCAGAAGCGACCAGCCCUGCCAACACCUUGACUUGAGCUUAGUGAGAUGGAGUUUGGACUUCUGACCUCCAGAACUAUUAGAGAAUAGAUUUGUGUUGUUUUAAGCAAUUGUAUUUGUGGUAAUUUGUUACAGUGGCAACAGGAAAUGAAUGUACCUUCCUUGUAAAGGAAUGUGACGUAGUGUAUCUCCUGUGUUCUUAGAGAGGGUGAUUUAAUCUGAUUGGUAAAUUCUGGAAUACUAAACUGAGCCUGAGUGGCUUGGGUUCAUUCUAAC